UACGGGGGGGGCAAGCGUUGUUCGGAAUUACUGGGCGUAAAGGGCUGGUAGGCGGCCAACUAAGUCGGAUGUGAAAUCCCCAGGCUUAACCUGGGAACUGCAUCCGAUACUGGACGGCUGGAGCUUGGGAGAGGGAUGUAGAAUUCCAGGUGUAGCGGUGAAAUGCGUAGAUAUCUGGAGGAAUACCGGUGGCGAAGGCGGCAUCCUGGACCAAUACUGACGCUGAGGCGCGAAAGCUAGGGGAGCAAACGGG
rnacentral:rRNA from 1 species